UACGUAGGGCGCAAGCGUUGUCCGGAAUUAUUGGGCGUAAAGAGCUCGUAGGCGGUUUGUCGCGUCUGCUGUGAAAACCUAAGGCUCAACCUUGGGCUUGCAGUGGGUACGGGCGAGACUAGAGUGGCGGUAGGGGUGACUGGAAUUCCUGGUGAUAGCGGUGGAAUGCGACAGAUAUCAGGAGGAACACCGAGUGGCGA
rnacentral:rRNA from 1 species